rnacentral:pre_miRNA from 1 species
UCAACUUUCUUCCAAGUCUGAUCCGUACAAGCUUAACGGGAUAUUGGUGAUAUAUUCUUCUGAAUCAGAAGAAUAUAUCACCAAUAUCCCGUUAAGCUUGUACGGAUCAGACUUGGAAGAAAGUUGA